rnacentral:rRNA from 1 species
GACGAACGCUGGCGGCGUGCCUAAUACAUGCAAGUAGAACGCACAGUUUAUACCGUAGCUUGCUACACCAUAGACUGCGAGUUGCGAACGGGUGAGUAACGCGUAGGUAACCUGCCUGGUAGCGGGGGAUAACUAUUGGAAACGAUAGCUAAUACCGCAUAAUAUUGAUUAUUGCAUGAUAAUUGAUUGAAAGAUGCUAUUGCAUCACUACCAGAUGGACCUGCGUUGUAUUAGCUAGUAGGUGAGGUAACGGCUCACCUAGGCGACGAUACAUAGCCGACCUGAGAGGGUGAUCGGCCACACUGGGACUGAGACACGGCCCAGACGCCUACGGGAGGCAGCAGUAGGGAAUCUUCGGCAAUGGACGAAAGUCUGACCGAGCAACGCCGCGUGAGUGAAGAAGGGUUUCGGAUCGUAAAGCUCGGUUGUAAGAGAAGAACGGGUGUGAGAGUGGAAAGUUCACACUGUGACGGUAUCUUACCAGAAAGGGACGGCUAACUACGUG